GAUGAACGCUGGCGGCGUGCCUAAUACAUGCCAGUCGAGCGAACAGACGAGGAGCUUGCUCCUCUGACGUUAGCGGCGGACGGGUGAGUAACACGUGGAUAACCUACCUAUAAGACUGGGAUAACUUCGGGAAACCGGAGCUAAUACCGGAUAAUAUAUUGAACCGCAUGGUUCAAUAGUGAAAGACGGUUUUGCUGUCACUUAUAGAUGGAUCCGCGCCGCAUUAGCUAGUUGGUAAGGUAACGGCUUACCAAGGCAACGAUGCGUAGCCGACCUGAGAGAGUGAUCGGCCACACUGGAAGUGAGACACGGUCCAGACUCCUACGGGAGGCAGCAGUAGGGAAUCUUCCGCAAUGGGCGAAAGCCUGACGGAGCAACGCCGCGUGAGUGAUGAAGGUCUUCGGAUCGUAAAACUCUGUUAUUAGGGAAGAACAAAUGUGUAAGUAACUAUGCACGUCUUGACGGUACCUAAUCAGAAAGCCACGGCUAACUACGUG
rnacentral:rRNA from 1 species